ensembl:lncRNA
GCCCCGGGGGGGGGGGGGAGCGGCGGCGGGGACUCCGGGGACGGCGCUCGGCGGGGUUCCGGGGGGUACCGGGGCUCGGGGGUCCCGCGGCCGGGCCGGGCGCGCUCGCUCCGCCGCGCCGCGCCGCUUCUGCGCGCCGCCCCCACGGGCGGUACCGUGAAAUAGCAGCGGCCCCGGCUGCGCCGCGGCGUGGGAGGCCCCGGGGGCGGAUCCCGCGGCUGCCGCCCCCGCCGAGCGCAGCGCGGGCGGCCGCGGCGGGGGGGGGCAGCAGGCGGAGGCGGCGGCACCGUUUCCCCCCCCCCCAACCCCGAGCGGGAGGCGCAGCGGCACCAGGAGAGGGGGGGUGAUCGGGGAACCGGCGACCUGCACGGCGACACCGGGGGUCCAGCAGCCCGGGCAGCCUUUGCGGGGAACCGGGACCGGCGUCCCAGGCGGGGGACCGGGGCGGACACGCGAGGCACCGGGCGUCCGUGGGGGGAGGCGGGACCCCGCGGUGGCGGCGCUGGGCGGAGGGGACACGGGUCGGGGGGGCUCCGUGCUGGACCCGGUUCCCCGGCCCCGGGGGGACCGUCCCUGCGGGACCCCCGCGGUGCCCUGAGGGUGCGGGGACCUUCACCGCCCCCCGCCCCGGCGUGGGUCCCGCGGGCGGCAGCGACCGGAGGCUGCACCCGCAGCAUCCCCGGUUCCCGCAGCAACCCGGCCGGACGCGGCGGGGCUGCCGCUGCCCCCGUUACCCCGGGUUUCUCCCGGGACCCCCGCACCCCCCACUCCCCCCGGGUGCCGGGGUGACAGCGGAGGGCUGGUACGCCGCGUCUCAGCGGACACCGGCUGCCAUCGAUACGCUUCAGAGUGAACGGCGCCGGCCUGGCCCCGCCAUCGCGAGACGGGAGCGGAGAAAGACGUUUUCUCGGUUUGUGGGGGGGACACUGAAGCCCCCCGCCCGCAGCAGCCGGGGUCCCGCGGGAGGGUCACGGCCCCCACCCCGUCUCCGGUCCUGCGUGGCUCGGCACUAUUUAUACCGCGGCUGUGGCGGCCGGGCGCCUGGCGGGGCUCCAACCGCCCCCGCGCCAUCCUGCCCGGGGGGGGACCGCGGCGGGGACCGGCCACGUCCCCGGGCUGGCGGGGGGCAGCCGGGGCUCCCCUCCCCCUGCAACGGGCACGGUCCCCGACGGGGGGGGUCCUACCAUAGCUUUCCCCCCACACCCCGGCCGCCCCCCUCCCACGCUCUCCCCCUCCUCCCCCCCCCCCGCGACCGGGCGUCCGGCGCGGCGGGGCCGUUCCCAGGCCCGGCGCUGCCCCCGGCUGACGCACAUCCUCCGCCCACGGCCCCGCCGCUUCCCGGCUCCGCCGCCCACGGCCCGGGAGGGGAGGCGGGGGGGCCGCCCGAGCCCGCUCCCCGCCCACGGGCGGCCGCGGACACGGCGUCCUGGCGCCCCACGGGGCGGGGGAAGGGGCGCAGGCUCUACCCGGGCGGGCACGGAGCCCCCCGACCCCGCCGAGCCGCCCGUGGGGUGCAGGAACCCCCCGCUCCAGGGGGUCGCCCCGGCCCCACGGGACCCUCCGGGCUGUCCCGCUCCCCGCCGGGCCCCGCGGCCAGAGAAAGGCGCCCCGUCCCGGGCCCACGCCCGCGGCCCGGCCGAGCCCCGGGUCGGUGGGGGGCGGGACCCGCCUUCCCCCC